AUUGAACGCUGGCGGCAUGCUUUACACAUGCAAGUCGAACGGUAACAGGCCGCCAGGUGCUGACGAGUGGCGAACGGGUGAGUAAUGCAUCGGAACGUGCCCAGUCGUGGGGGAUAACUUCUCGAAAGAGUAGCUAAUACCGCAUACGAUCUAUGGAUGAAAGCGGGGGACCGUAAGGCCUCGCGCGAUUGGAGCGGCCGAUGUCAGAUUAGGUAGUUGGUGGGGUAAAGGCUCACCAAGCCAACGAUCUGUAGCUGGUCUGAGAGGACGACCAGCCACACUGGGACUGAGACACGGCCCAGACUCCUACGGGAGGCAGCAGUGGGGAAUUUUGGACAAUGGGCGCAAGCCUGAUCCAGCAAUGCCGCGUGCAGGAAGAAGGCCUUCGGGUUGUAAACUGCUUUUGUACGGAACGAAACGGCUCUGGUUAAUACCCGGGGCUAAUGACGGUACCGUAAGAAUAAGCACCGGCUAACUACGUG
rnacentral:rRNA from 1 species